CCGACUAGUGUUUUGUCCAAAAGAUGGAUUGCAUUUGGAAAUUUAGCCCUUCUCUAAAUUUCAACAGGAGUUCGUUUUCGGAUGAGAAUACUGAGAGAUUCAUAGAUUUUGUUUACAUAAUAUAUUCAUAUUUCGUUAUGACACCAGUAUUCAGAAGUUUAGUGUGACUGGAAAGACUCUGCAUAUGAUAAUAUUUUAAGGAAUCAGCUGUGUAUGCCAAACGUAUGAUGGACUUUCUAGGAGCGGUUUAUAUGGUGAAAGAACGAAAUUAUCAUCUGGUUUCGUUGAGGUUCUCUCACGAGCUCCUGACUUGUUAGACUGUCAACCACCUUGCUUGUGUAAACUGCAAUGUUCGGUGCUGGGAAUGUGGUCUACAAGAGGCUGCUUGCGGGCUAUAGCAUACUUACUCAGCGUUUCUCCUAAUAUAGCUGAAAUUUUUCUUGAAUCAAAGGAGUCAAAUUUAGCGGACGUUGGAGACGACUGGGAAGCAGGCUUGUCAUCCCCGAGAAUGUUGUCUCACCUCGUGUAUGUCCAGAUUGAAGAAGUGGAAAGAUGUGAUGCUGAGUUCAAAAUUCUUAAUUUUUUGCUGAAAAAUGCAAAAGAUUUGGAAGAAGUUGCUCUAUUCUUUCGUUCUAGUGCUGGCUCGCCUGACAUAGUGAGACAAAUUAAGCAAUUUAAGAAGAAGCUAAGAGCAGUUCCAACAUAUGCUGCUUUUUUUUUCUUGAAAAUUUUGUUUAGUAUACUCCUAUAGUAGUAUUUAUUCACAUUAUGUUCAAGUAUCUCAUUCACUGUGGUGAAUUGAGACUCUUCCAUACAGCACAUUAUUUCAUACUUGCACAUAAUUUGCAGUUCUCCACGACACAUAUUACUGGCCUAUGG